rnacentral:rRNA from 1 species
UACAGAGGGGGCAAGCGUUAUUCGGAAUUAUUGGGCGUAAAGGGCGCGUAGGCGGCUACACAAGUGGCGGGUGAAAUCCCUCGGCUUAACCGAGGAACUGCCUGCCAGACUGUGUGGCUUGAGACCGGGAGAGGUGAGUGGAAUUCCCAGUGUAGCGGUGAAAUGCGUAGAUAUUGGGAGGAACACCAGUGGCGAAGGCGGCUCACUGGACAUGUAUUGACGCUGAGGUGCGAAAGCGUGGGGAGCAAACAGG